rnacentral:rRNA from 1 species
GAAGGGGGCUAGCGUUGCUCGGAAUCACUGGGCGUAAAGGGUGCGUAGGCGGGUCUUUAAGCCAGGGGUGAAAUCCUGGAGCUCAACUCCAGAACUGCCUUUGAUACUGAAGAUCUUGAGUUCGGGAGAGGUGAGUGGAACUGCGAGUGUAGAGGUGAAAUUCGUAGAUAUUCGCAAGAACACCAGUGGCGAAGGCGGCUCACUGGCCCGAUACUGACGCUGAGGCACGAAAGCGUGGGGGAGCAAACAGGAUUAGAUACCCUGGUAGUCCACGCCGUAAACGAUGAAUGCCCAGCCGUUAGUGGGUUUACUCACUAGUGGCGCAGCUAACGCUUUAAGCAUUCCGCCUGGGAGUACGGUCGCAAGAUUA